UAGUGGAAACUGGCGGACGGGUGAGUAACGCGUAGGGAUGUGCCUAUGGGUACGGAAUAACCGUUGGAAACGACGGCUAAUACCGUAUACGCCCCAAGGGGGAAAGCUCCGGCGCCCAUAGAGCAACCUGCGUCCGAUUAGCUUGUUGGUGAGGUAAUGGCUCACCAAGGCUUCGAUCGGUAGCUGGUCUGAGAGGAUGGUCAGCCACACUGGGACUGAGACACGGCCCAGACUCCUACGGGAGGCAGCAGUGGGGAAUAUUGGACAAUGGGGGCAACCCUGAUCCAGCCAUGCCGCGUGAGUGAAGAAGGCCUUAGGGUUGUAAAGCUCUUUCAGCAGGGAAGAUGAUGACGGUACCUGCAGAAGAAGCCCCGGCUAACUCCGUGCCAGCAGCCGCGGUAAUACGGAGGGGGCUAGCGUUGCUCGGAAUUACUGGGCGUAAAGAGCAUGUAGGCGGAUUGUAUAGUCAGGCGUGAAAGCCCCAGGCUCAACCUGGGAACUGCGUUUGAUACUUACAGUCUAGAGUCCGAGAGAGGGUGGUGGAAUUCCCAGUGUAGAGGUGAAAUUCGUAGAUAUUGGGAAGAACACCAGUGGCGAAGGCGGCCACCUGGCUCGGUACUGACGCUGAGAUGCGAAAGCGUGGGGAGCGAACAGGAUUAGAUACCCUGGUAGUCCACGCCGUAAACGAUGUGCGCUAGA
rnacentral:rRNA from 1 species